rnacentral:rRNA from 1 species
UACGUAGGGCGCAAGCGUUGUCCGGAAUUAUUGGGCGUAAAGAGCUCGUAGGCGGCUUGUCACGUCGGGUGUGAAAGCCCGGGGCUUAACCCCGGGUCUGCAUUCGAUACGGGCUAGCUAGAGUGUGGUAGGGGAGAUCGGAAUUCCUGGUGUAGCGGUGAAAUGCGCAGAUAUCAGGAGGAACACCGGUGGCGAAGGCGGAUCUCUGGGCCGAAAUUGACGCUGAGGCGCGAAAGCGUGGGGAUCAAACAGG